AAAGUCAUUGAUAAUGCCCCUACAAAGUAGGUACUAUUAUUUUCCUCAUUUGAUAGGCGAGAAAACAGAAAAGUGGUUAUGUAACCUAUCCAAGGACAUUCGGAUUUAUGUGACAGAAGAGGGGUUUAAAUGUAAGCAUCUGGACUCCAGAAGUCACCCUCUUACUGCUGUGCUGUAAUGCAGUAGUCCUCAGCCUUUAUGGCACUAGGGACCAGUUUCAUGGAAGGCAAUUUUUCCAUAGAUGGCAGGGUGGGGGGAUGGUUUUAAGAUGAUUCAAAUACAUAACAUUCAUCAUUAGAUUCUCAUACCAGUCCGUGGCCCGGGGGUUGCGGACCCCUGCUCUAGUGCCUCUCCCAGUGUCCAAAUGCACAUUUAUCCUUUCAUUCAGCAAACACAUGUGUUAAGCAUUGUUCUAGGCACAGGAGAACAAGACAGACAAGGUCCCUGUCCUCAUAACGUGUAUAUUACAGUAGGAGAGACAGCAAAUGAACAUGUGAGCAAAUGAACAAACAAAUGUAUUCAGAGAGAGAAGGAUAUAAAGAAUUAAACAGAGUAACAUCACAUAGAGGCCCAAGAUGGGGCAUCUUUACAAAGUGUGGUCAGAGAAGACCUUGCUGAGGAGGUGGCAUUAGUGCUGAGACCUGAAGGAGAGGAGGGUAGAGGAAGAGCAUCCAGAGGGAGGAGUCAAAGCAAAACCAGGAAUGAGGAUGCUGUGUCCAAGGAGCAGAAAGAUGGCCAGCGUGGCUGGUCCAUGUGAGUGCAAGGCCAGAGUGGGGGAUGGGGGCCACAUCAGUGCAAGGCUCUGUCAGGCAGAGUUCAGAUAUUGUUCUACAUAUCACAGGAAGGCACUGCCAGGUCUUAGGCAGGGAGUGACAUGGCCUCAUGCGUUUCCAUGGCUUGAGUAAGCCUCAGAACACAGUCAGGAGACCCCAAAGAGUUUGUGCCUGUUUCAGGAUAAUAGACCAUCCCCCAAGGCUGGGUCUCUGGGGGGUGUGCAUGUCAAGGAGGGAGACUUGUGUGCGAGGCAGCACCCUCAAGUACAGCUCAUGCUGUUAGCAGCAGCAUGCAGUGGCGGUUGUGUAGAAGAGAACAAAACACCAGAACUUUAGUGCAGCUCAGGAAUCCUUAACCUUAUGUGGCUCUCUGUGGGUUCUAAGUCUCCCUUCAGAAAUCCUGUUUCAGUGUUGCCACCUUUCCUAGCCAUGAGCCUAAGCUUCAGAUGCACAACUUUUCUUCUGCACAUCAGAAACAGGUUUGCCUUCUUCCUUUCAAGAUGGGUGGGUGUUGUUGGUUUUCUCCUCCAUGUAAACAGGCAGCAGCAGAAGUGGUCCUGACCCAGAUGCCCUGACAGCUUUUCCUGGUGUGAUUUUGGAAGUUAACCCUUGAACAGAAUGGGUUUGAACUGCGCAGCUUCACUUAAAUGCAUGGAUUUUCUUCUGCCUCCACCACCUCUGAGACAGCAAGAUCAGCCCCUCCUCCUCUCAGCCUACUCAAUGCAAAGAAGACAAGGAUGAAGACCUUUAUGAUGAUCCACUUCCACUUAAUGAAUAGUAAAUAUAUUUUCUCUUCUUA